GUUUCCCCAGAUCUCGGACAUUAUCGAUAAAGCAAGCAUCCGGCAAGAGCAUACGUUUCACUUAUUCAUUAACAUUAUUUUUUAUAUUUGGUAUCAGGCUCCUUAAUCACUGAGCCCUUUUUUGUAUUUUAUUUAGAGACAGGGUCUCACUGAGUUGCUUAGGGCCUCACUGUGGCUGAGGCUGGCUUUGAACUUGCCAUCCUCCAGCCUCAACCUAUGGAGCCCCUGGGGUUAUAGGUGCGCAACACUGCACCCAGCUCAUUAACAAUAUUGAACAAGUACCUAGCCAUUGUCUACCACAAUGUCACAGUGACCUCCAAACUUAGCACCUUGAAACAACAGAAAACACCUCACGCCACUUUGGGCAGGAAGUGGCAGGGGAGUGGCUGAGCUGGGUGCUUCUGACUCAGCCUCAUCUCUCCUGGGGUUGCACUCAUCUGAAGGUUCCACAGGGGCUGAAUCAUCCACAGGUCUCAGUUCCCUGCCACGGAACCUCCUGAGGUCCUUUAUGACCUAAUCUCAGAAGUCACACUCGGUCAUCUCUGCAAUUUCCUAUUGAUUACAUAGCCCUUCUUAGGGGCGCCAGGUUUAGCUAAUAACCUGAAUUUCAGGUUAAAUGAAUACUAUUUUUGAUUAUGUAUCAUUCAACCUUGAAAAAUACUAAAAAUUACCCAUCCUCUUAUCUGGAAUUCAGAUGUAACCAGAGUCCUCUCUUUAGUCUGCUGCCUGUCCUGAUGAGUACAGGAAGGAAAACGUCCCAGUGAGGAGCACGGAUACCAGGAAGCAGCUUCACUGGGCGCCAUGCUGGAAGCCAGCUGCCACACCUGUGAUGGCUGGAGGUGGCUGUCAGUGGGGAUAAGUGGGGCAAUUUUAAAAAAUGCUUCCCACUCUCCUGGGUUUCCAGCCUAGAGAGUAAGAACAACUUGAAUCAACCAGCAGGAAAAUAAACACAAAACCUGAAUAAAGUGCUUCGGAGAGACGUACCUGGUGCUUGGUGCAGAGAAAAGUCAUACACUGCUUUCCGGGUGUGAUGGCCCAUGCCUGUCAUCCCAGCCACUCGGGAGGCUGAGGCAGGAGGAUCACAAGUUCAAGGCCAGCCUCAGCAACUUAGUGAGACCCUGACUCAAACUAAAAUUCAAAAAGGGGCUGGGGCUGGGGCUCAGUGGUUAAGGACUCCUGGGUUCAAUCUCUUGGACUAUUAAAAAAAAAAAAUCCCAGAAAGAGGGAAUAGCUGCUUUUCCAUGUGACUUUCUGUAAGGGUGUGAAAGGGGCUGAGAUGGUUCUGCUGCUAAAGAAGGAUCCAAAACCCUGAAUGCACGGCUUGGACCUACAUCAACACACACAAAGGACUGCGUGUAAAACAUGGUGAGAGUAAAUAAAAGUUUGUGGUUUAUGGUAUUGUACCAA
rnacentral:lncRNA from 1 species